rnacentral:rRNA from 1 species
UACGAAGGGGGCGAGCGUUGUUCGGAUUUACUGGGCGUAAAGGGCGCGCAGGCGGCGCAUUUUGUCAGGCGUGAAAGCCCCGGGCUUAACCGGGGAACUGCAUCUGAUACUGGAUGGCUUGAGUUCGGGAGAGGGAUGCGGAAUUCCAGGUGUAGCGGUGAAAUGCGUAGAUAUCAGGAGGAACACCGAUGGCGAAGGCAGGUCUCUGGGCAUUAACUGACGCUGAGGAGCGAAAGCAUGGGGAGCAAACAGG